rnacentral:rRNA from 1 species
GACGAACGCUGGCGGCGUGCUUAACACAUGCAAGUCGAACGGAAAGGCCCUGCUUUUGUGGGGUGCUCGAGUGGCGAACGGGUGAGUAACACGUGAGUAACCUGCCCUUGACUUUGGGAUAACUUCAGGAAACUGGGGCUAAUACCGGAUAGGAGCUCCUGCUGCAUGGUGGGGGUUGGAAAGUUUCGGCGGUUGGGGAUGGACUCGCGGCUUAUCAGCUUGUUGGUGGGGUAGUGGCUUACCAAGGCUUUGACGGGUAGCCGGCCUGAGAGGGUGACCGGCCACAUUGGGACUGAGAUACGGCCCAGACUCCUACGGGAGGCAGCAGUGGGGAAUAUUGCACAAUGGGCGGAAGCCUGAUGCAGCAACGCCGCGUGCGGGAUGACGGCCUUCGGGUUGUAAACCGCUUUCGCCUGUGAAGAAGAGUGAGUGACGGUAAUGGGUAAAGAAGCAACGGCUAACUACGUG